rnacentral:lncRNA from 1 species
GCACGGGCCCUCGAACGACCAGAAGAGGGAGGGCACAGGAAGCCCAGGGCUCCACACUGUCAGCAGUGGCCCCGCCUUCGCCACCUAGGCUGCAGGCAGUGGCAGUCACACAUUGCUUUUCUGGACUGGGAUCCCACCAUGGUGUAGAUCCUGGAGCCUGUGAAGCCGGGCGCUGCUGGGACUGGACCAGACUCGAAGCAGGAUGGUGGGACAGGUCCAACUGGCGGUGAAUUCCUGACAGCUGUGAGCCGAGAAGGCAGGGGACAGUUCGGACACCUGCACUAGACAUCCAGCCAGCAGGCUGGAAGGAAGUGUCAAUGGUGGAUGACCACAGAGGUGACAGGUCAGGAGGGAGAACCUGAUUGGCACAUAAGGUGGUGAGUCCCUUGUCUCUGGAAGAAGCCAAUGGGGUGUGCAGCCAGCACAGUUGUCCCAUACGAAGUCAAGAGUUCCGUUUGAGGGCCCAGGUUCAUGACCUUCUUCCAGUGGAAUGAACAUGCCUGUCUUCCUGGGUAACAGUCACAAAUUUUAUUUGAGGAUGCUGAAACAGAGAUGUGACUUCUGAGGUCCCUUGGCCCCCAGAUGAAUCCAAGGGAGACACAACUCAGACUGCAACCUCAGAGACUAUUGUUUGUCAUAGGCAAGUGAAUGGAGCUUGUCCCCGAAGCUUUCAGAGGUGUGCUCGAUGUACCUAGAAGGACAGGCAGCCUCAGCCUCUGGAAGAGGAGAAGUGGAGGGUGAUCAAGGCAUAGUGCGCAAGGCAGAACUUCAUGAGAAAUGCCAGGUCAGCAGGCAGGGGGCUUCGGCAGCUACUGAGAGUGUUUUCUCUUGUAGCGCCCCUGGAGGGGACCAUCCCCCACUCACUUGCUCUGGCUGGUUUCCAGCAGAGCUCCCCAUUGAGCCGGGGGACUUUAAUUUCAUGCUCUAACAUUAGUGUAGGUGCAAUGGGAGAUGCUCUGGAGCCCUGGGAAGUCAGGGUGGCUUCUAGCGCACCAAAGGCCAUGGCCGCCAACCUUCCCACCAGGGACAGCUCUGGCUUUCUCCAUGGGCACAGCAGGUUUUACCCUUCUGGGGACACAAAAGCAUCAGUGAGGUUGGCAGGAAUGGUUGAACCUGCAGGGCUUGCUUCCUGUG